rnacentral:tRNA from 1 species
GGAAUAGCCUAAUGGCUAGGGCACCGGGUUUUGGCUCCGGUUAUGAAGGUUCGAUUCCUUCUUCC